rnacentral:rRNA from 1 species
AAUGAACGCUGGCGGCGUGGUUAAGACAUGCAAGUCGAACGGGUUUUUCGGUUGUAGCAAUACAACUGAAAAGCAGUGGCGAACGGGUGCGUAACACGUGAAAAAUUUACAUUCAAAUGGCGAAUAGCUCGGCGAAAGCCGGAUUAAUACCGCAUGUGGUUGGCCGCUGCAUGGUUGCCAUACUAAAGUCGGGGACAGCACGGCCUGACGCUUGAAGAGACGUUCGCGGGCUAUCAGCUAGUUGGCGGGGUAACGGCCCACCAAGGCUAAGACGGGUAGCUGGUCUGAGAGGAUGAUCAGACACACUGGAACUGAGACGCGGUCCAGACACCUACAGGUGGCAGCAGUUUCGAAUCAUUCACAAUGGGCGAAAGCCUGAUGGUGCGACGCCGCGUGAGGGAUGAAGGGCUUCGAAUUGUAAACCUCUGUCACCGGGGAAGAAACGCUUCAAUUUAACAGAUUGAAGCCUGACUUAACCCGGAGAGGAAGCAGUGGCUAACUCUGUGCCAGCAGCCGCAGUAA